CCUACGGGGUGCAGCAGUGGGGAAUAUUGGACAAUGGGCGAAAGCCUGAUCCAGCCACGCCGCGUGUGUGAAGAAGGCCUUCGGGUUGUAAAGCACUUUCAGUGGGGAAGAAAGCCUUGGGGCUAAUACCCUCGAGGAAGGACAUCACCCACAGAAGAAGCACCGGCUAACUCCGUGCCAGCAGCCGCGGUAAUACGGAGGGUGCGAGCGUUAAUCGGAAUUACUGGGCGUAAAGCGCGCGUAGGCGGUCUGAUAAGCCGGUUGUGAAAGCCCCGGGCUCAACCUGGGAACGGCAUCCGGAACUGUCAGGCUAGAGUGCAGGAGAGGAAGGUAGAAUUCCCGGUGUAGCGGUGAAAUGCGUAGAGAUCGGGAGGAAUACCAGUGGCGAAGGCGGCCUUCUGGACUGACACUGACGCUGAGGUGCGAAAGCGUGGGUAGCAAACAGGAUUAGAUACCCCGGUAGUC
rnacentral:rRNA from 1 species